rnacentral:rRNA from 1 species
UACGUAGGGUGCGAGCGUUGUCCGGAAUUAUUGGGCGUAAAGAGCUCGUAGGCGGCUUGUCACGUCGUUCGUGAAAACUUGGGGGCUCAACCCCAAGCUUGCGGUCGAUACGGGCAGGCUAGAGUUCGGUAGGGGAGACUGGAAUUCCUGGUGUAGCGGUGGAAAUGCGCAGAUAUCAGGAGGAACACCAAUAGCGAAGGCAGCUCGCUGGGACGGUAUUGACGCUGAGACGCGAAAGCGUGGGGAGCAAACAGG